GACGAACGCUGGCGGCGUGCUUAACACAUGCAAGUCGAACGGUGAAGCGCCUUCCUUUUUGGUGGGUGUGGAUGAGUGGCGAACGGGUGAGUAACACGUGAGUAACCUGCCCCCUUCUUCUGGAUAACCGCAUGAAAGUGUGGCUAAUACGGGAUAUUCUGGGUCUGUCGCAUGAUGGGUCUGGGAAAGAUAUUGUUUCGGUGGGGGAUGGGCUCGCGGCCUAUCAGCUUGUUGGUGGGGUGAUGGCCUACCAAGGCGGUGACGGGUAGCCGGCCUGAGAGGGUGGACGGUCACACUGGGACAGAGACACGGCCCAGACUCCUACGGGAGGCAGCAGUGGGGAAUAUGGCACAAUGGGCGCAAGCGUGAUGCAGCGGCGCCGCGGGAGGGAUGGAGGCCUUCGGGUUGUGAACCUCUUUGGCCAGUGAAGCAGGCCUGCCUCGUUUGUGGGUGGGUUGACGGUAGCUGGAUAAGAAGCGCCGGCUAACUACGUG
rnacentral:rRNA from 1 species